rnacentral:rRNA from 1 species
AACGAACGCUGGCGGCAGGCUUAACACAUGCAAGUCGAGCGCCCCGCAAGGGGAGCGGCAGACGGGUGAGUAACGCGUGGGAAUCUACCCAUCUCUACGGAAUAACGCAUGGAAACGUGUGCUAAUACCGUAUACGUCCUUCGGGAGAAAGAUUUAUCGGAGAUGGAUGAGCCCGCGUUGGAUUAGCUAGUUGGUGGGGUAAAGGCCUACCAAGGCGACGGUCCAGAGCUGGUCUGAGAGGAUGAUCAGCCACACUGGAACUGAGACACGGCCCAGACUCCUACGGGGGGCAGCCGUGGGGAAUAUUGGACAAUGGGCGCAAGCCUGCUCCAGCCAUGCCGCGUGAGUGAUGAAGGCCCUAGGGUUGUAAAGCUCUUUCACCGGUGAAGAUAAUGACGGUAACCGGAGAAGAAGCCCCGGCUAACUUCGUGCCAGCCGCCGCCGUAAAAC